UGCAAGUCGAGCGGUAACAUUUCUAGCUUGCUAGAAGAUGACGAGCGGCGGACGGGUGAGUAACGCGUAGGAAUCUACCUAUUGGUGGGGGAUAGCCCAGGGAAACUUGGAUUAAUACCGCAUAAGCUCUUAGGAGGAAAGCGGGGGAUCUUCGGACCUCGUGCCAAUAGAUGAGCCUGCGUAAGAUUAGCUAGAUGGUGGGGUAAUGGCCUACCAUGGCGACGAUCUUUAGCUGGUCUGAGAGGAUGAUCAGCCACACUGGGACUGAGACACGGCCCAGACUCCUACGGGAGGCAGCAGUGGGGAAUAUUGCACAAUGGGCGCAAGCCUGAUGCAGCCAUGCCGCGUGUGUGAAGAAGGCCUUAGGGUUGUAAAGCACUUUCAGUGGGGAGGAAAGGUUGUAAGUUAAUACCUUAUAGCUGUGACGUUACCCACAGAAGAAGGACCGGCUAAUUCCGUGCCAGCAGCCGCGGUAAUACGGAAGGUCCGAGCGUUAAUCGGAAUUACUGGGCGUAAAGCGCACGUAGGCGGCUAGGUCAGUUGGGUGUGAAAGCCCCGGGCUCAACCUGGGAACUGCAUCCAAUACUGCCUGGGUAGAGUACGAGAGAGGGGGGUAGAAUUUCUAGUGUAGCGGUGAAAUGCGUAGAUAUUAGAAGGAAUACCAGUGGCGAAGGCGGCCCCCUGGCUCGAUACUGACGCUGA
rnacentral:rRNA from 1 species